rnacentral:rRNA from 1 species
UGAACGCUGGCGGCAGGCCUAACACAUGCAAGUCGAACGGUAACAUUUCUAGCUUGCUAGAAGAUGACGAGUGGCGGACGGGUGAGUAAUGCUUGGGAACUUGCCUUUGCGAGGGGGAUAACAGUUGGAAACGACUGCUAAUACCGCAUAAUGUCUUCGGACCAAACGGGGCUUCGGCUCCGGCGCAAAGAGAGGCCCAAGUGAGAUUAGCUAGUUGGUAAGGUAACGGCUUACCAAGGCGACGAUCUCUAGCUGUUCUGAGAGGAAGAUCAGCCACACUGGGACUGAGACACGGCCCAGACUCCUACGGGAGGCAGCAGUGGGGAAUAUUGCACAAUGGGGGAAACCCUGAUGCAGCCAUGCCGCGUGUGUGAAGAAGGCCUUCGGGUUGUAAAGCACUUUCAGUUGUGAGGAAAAGUUAGUAGUUAAUACCUGCUAGCCGUGACGUUAACAACAGAAGAAGCACCGGC